AUAAUCUCAGGACAAGAUUGACUGUAGAAAGCUGAAACCAUGGAAAGUGAAGCUGUGAUUAAAGGGGGAACUAAUCUUCAGUCUCUGGUGAACUUGAUCAUCGUGUUCUAAAUCAUAUGCCUCUAUUUUAGCAGAACAGAUUUGAAGCUCCUUCUCUGAGUAAACCUUUGUUCUCUACUUUGAAUCCCUCUGAGACACACUUCUGUAUGGGAGUCUUGAUCAUGUUGGUCCCAACAAGGCUGAAGAUGGUGCUCAACACACAAAUCCGUGGAGGAGGCUUGGGAUCACAGAUGUUUUUUUGAGAUUAAAAUGAGCCAUAAUCAAGAGGAAGGAAAAUUGCAGUCAGACCCCACAGCUAAAGAAUACAAUGAGAAUUCUGGAAAACAGCAGACUCUGUGGCUUUCUGACACUGAGAACAUAGAUGUAGGAGGGGGAACAGCUUAAUGAAAAAGCUACCUUAUUUGGGAAAAGCCCUGAUUUAAGAAAAAAAAAAAAAGAAAGAAAAAGAAAAAAGAAAAAAAGAAGUGCCUGGAACUUUGUAAGUCUGGGGAUAAAUAGAACAGAUAUUCAUCGCAGACCUACCUGGCAAGCGUACGUAUGGGGCCUGGGGUAAUGGGAGUGCACUGCACUGAUUUUCUGCUCAGGCCUGCAAAUGUCUAAUUCUCACAGACUUUCAGCUUAGCUGUUCACCGUCUGUUUCUUCCAUGUCUCUCUUUACAUUUUUUGCUCUUGUUCAAUAACUAGUAUAAAAAUAAAAUGAUAAAUUUUGAACCUUAUUAAAAAUAGCAAUGAAACACACAAAUACCACCACCACUACCACAUGGGAAGCUUCUCAAAUGUGGUGGCUUGUUUUCUGAGCGGGUGUGCGUGUAUGUGUGCUUAAUGGACUGGUAGCAGCAAUUUCUAGAAUUUCAUUGGCAAAGUUCUUCCAUUCCACAACAGGAUCACCAAGACAAACCAAAGGCUUAGAACAUUUUCCUAGACUUAAAGCUAUAUCUACUCAGUCUAACAAAUGAUUUGUUCUGUUCCUAUAAGCUUUGUCCAGUAGCUAAAGUUUAUUAAGUCAGUUUGAGUGGAAAGACCUGGGUAAGCUUGGUUUUCCUGUAAAAUAUACAGGGCUCAGAGUCUGUGGAAGGCCAAGACUCCUCUAUAUUUCUCAAACUUGAAUGUGCAAAGAUAUCCUCUUUAUUGCUUGUUGAAAAAUGUGAGAAUGAGUAGAUAUCUCUGAUGGUAAGAAUCCGCAUUUUAAAUAAACCUGCCAAGGACUGUUUUUUUUUACUUAGGAGGUUAAUACUUGGAGAACUAUGACUGUUAAUACAGUUUAGGGGUACAGGCCUAUUUUUUAAGGAAAAAAAUUUCAGGCCUGGCAUUGGCACUUGUCAACAUUUUUAAAAAAAAGUGCAGUAUAAGGCCGGCUCCAUGGCUCACUAGGCUAAUCUUCAGCCUGCGGCGCUGGUACUACAGGUUCUAGUCCCGGUUGGGGUGCUGGAUUCUGCCCUGGUUGCCCCUCUUCCUGUCCAGCUCUCUGCUGUGGCCCGGGAAGGCAGUGGAGGAUGGCCCAGAUGUUUGGGCCCUGCACCCGCGUGGGAGACCAUGAGGAAGCACCUGGCUCCUGGCUUUGGAUCAGCGCAGCACGCCAGCCGUAGCGGCCAUUUGGGGGGUAAACCAACAGAAGGAAGACCUUUCUCUCCGUCUCUCUCUCUCUCUCAUUGUCUAACUCUGCCUGUCAAAAAAAUGCAGUAUGUCCAUUUUGUGUGAAUUGACACCUAUGGUUGUUAAUCAAUGGUGGAAUCAGACACCGAUGCCAAUGCUGUUAUUUUUAGACAUGUGUUCCUUUUCCUCCCAAAACUUCAAAUGCAAAACAUUCAAUUUAUAUUAUCAGGGUCUUCCUGGCACUCAGUGAGCUCUAAAGCUUUGCUCGAGUAACAUUUGCCCUUCUUCGUUUCCAUUUCUGUGUUUCUCUCUUCUCUGCCUUUCACUUACCUUCCUUUUUUUUGUCCAUCAAAGAAAGCUGAAUAUGGUUGCUUAUAGCAUGAUGUGCUUCCUUCUAGCAUUUUAAACAUUUCUUUCAUUAGGUUAGUGUCAGAAGCAAGGGUACUGAGUGAUGCUUUUAGCACCUGCUAAAUUAUGUGUGUGUAUGUGUGUGUAUUUUUGGAAGGGGAUCCAAAGCAUGCCCAGAGCUCUAAUUUAAAGAGCUCUUCCUGAAGGAGGUACCUUUUUCUGAAGGGAGGAGAGAACUUCCACUUUGACUAUGACCCUAUCGGAAUAAGAUCAAAGUCAGCGAACUCUAAAGGCUUCCAUAGCCCUGGCAACUCAUGACUAGAGCCUAGGGAGAUUACUGACGCGAUGAA